ensembl:processed_transcript
ACACAGGAAUCCAGACACACACACACACACAUUCACUCACUGCUCUUUCUUUCUGCUUGGCAGGAAGAGUCUCCUCUGAACCAGACAACAGCUUGCACUUCUCUGCUUUUCCUCUGCUGGCAGGUGUUAGAAAUAAAGCCAUAAAUAAGUGGACUUAAAGACAACACUACAGAGAGAGAGAGAGGACAAAUGUCUUGCACAAGUGAGCAAGGGAUAUGAGGGGAAAAAGGAGAAGAAACCUGCAUUUUUAGCGUUGGUGUCUGAGUGAAUGUGUUGUUGAGGGGAAACCAAAAGUAACCGGGAGGAACGCAAGGCAGUCAUGGACAUUAUAACACCUCAGACUCGAGACUGGACGACUUGGAUUUGCACACCGGAGUUGGACCCCAUCCAGCCCACUGUCCACUGAUACAAAUGAGUACCCAUGUGCCAUCUGAGACAUGCUUCCUGGCUAUGGAAUCUCUCCUCUUCUUGAUUUCCAGCCUC